GAGAAAUUACUGACUGGUGUACCUGGUCUGUGUGGGAGAGCUGCCAGAGGGGAGAGACACCUGCAGGGAUCCUGACCCAGGGGAAGCUGCUACAGGGAGAAGCUGACCCUGCUCUCCCAGCCCUGGACUUACACCUGUAACAGAGCUAUCAGUGCCAGCCAGAAAGGGAGCCGGGGAAGCUGCCGCUGUUGGUAGGAAAGUCCCAGGCUGACAGGCUGCACACAGGCCCAGUCUCUCAUUCAAGCCACUGCCUGGUUGCUAAGAUAAUCAAGAAAUCAAGACCCUAACAACCAGAUUGGUGCUUAAAAUCCGAACUGCAGAGCUACUGGACAAAAAGAAUCCACCGAAUCUGUUCCUGAGGAAAUCGUGAAACCUGGAGAGUACGUUUGGGUCAAAGUAAUCAAGAGAAAGAACUGGUCCCAGCUGGGAAGGUCCAUACCAAGUACUACUGUCAACCCCUACAGCGGUUAAGAUAGCCGAAAGAACUUCCUGGAUACACGCAAGUCACUGUAAACUAGUAAAACUAUUUCAGGCAGGGAUAGAAUUUAG